AGUGAACGCUGGCGGUAGGCCUAACACAUGCAAGUCGAACGGCAGCACAGUAAGAGCUUGCUCUUACGGGUGGCGAGUGGCGGACGGGUGAGGAAUACAUCGGAAUCUACUUUUUCGUGGGGGAUAACGUAGGGAAACUUGCGCUAAUACCGCAUACGACCUACGGGUGAAAGCAGGGGAUCUUCGGACCUUGCGCGAUUGAAUGAGCCGAUGUCGGAUUAGCUAGUUGGCGGGGUAAAGACCCACCAAGGCGACGAUCCGUAGCUGGUCUGAGAGGAUGAUCAGCCACACUGGAACUGAGACACGGUCCAGACUCCUACGGGAGGCAGCAGUGGGGAAUAUUGGACAAGGGGCGCAAGCCUGAUCCAGCCAUACCGCGUGGGUGAAGAAGGCCUUCGGGUUGUAAAGCCCUUUUGUUGGGAAAGAAAAGCAGCAGGUUAAUACCCCGCUGUUCUGACGGUACCCAAAGAAUAAGCACCGGCUAACUUCGUG
rnacentral:rRNA from 1 species